rnacentral:lncRNA from 1 species
UUAGGCCUGUUCCCUGCUGCUCUCUUAUCUCUGCUUCCUCAGGCCUGGUCUCUCCAGCUCCCUGGGCCUGAGGCUGCUUCUCUCCUUGCACUUCCUGAGUGUCAUCUCUGAGUCUGUUCUGGUGGAGCGCUCUCCCAGGUGAGCCUGGGCCUGGUGGCCUCCUGGUAGGCUGGUGUCAUGGGGCCUCCACUUGGAUGAUAUGCCUGUUCAUCAGCUCUGAAUCAAGUUUUGCUUUGGUGGGGGUCUGUGCACCGUGGCAAGGGUGAGAAUUUGGACCCUGCACCUAGGUGCCGGCCAGCUAUGGGUUAAGUUCUUGGGAGGGUGUCUCUUCUCCUAUGGGCUGUAUGGGGACUUCCAGAUGGCAGCUCCUCCCAGCUCCUAUGCUGGGCCAUGGAUCCUGCACCAGGAACGCUCUCCAGUGCCAGCUCCCGUGGGCGGUGAGCCACUGGCCCUGCCAGCUGCUCGGUUUUUCUCUUCAUUUCUCUCAUAUGAGAUCGCCCUUGUUCUCAACUAAGGUCCUUCGAUGA